rnacentral:rRNA from 1 species
GGCGAGUGAAGCGGUAACAGCUCAAAUUUGAAAUCUGGCCUCACGGUCCGAGUUGUAAUUUGUAGAGGAUGCUUCGAGCAUGGUCUGGCCUAAGUUCCUUGGAACAGGACGUCAUAGAGGGUGAGAAUCCCGUAUGCGGUCAGGUGCCUACGCUCAUGUGAAGCUCCUUCGACGAGUCGAGUUGUUUGGGAAUGCAGCUCAAAAUGGGUGGUAAAUUUCAUCUAAAGCUAAAUAUUGGCCAGAGACCGAUAGCGCACAAGUAGAGUGAUCGAAAGAUGAAAAGCACUUUGGAAAGAGAGUUAAACAGUACGUGAAAUUGUUGAAAGGGAAGCGCUUGCAACCAGACUUGCGCGCGGCCGAUCAUCCGGUGUUCUCACCGGUGCACUCGGCCGUGCUCAGGCCAGCAUCGGUUUCGGCGGUUGGAUAAAGGCCUCAGGAAUGUGGCUCCUCUCGGGGAGUGUUAUAGCCUGGGGUGCAAUGCAGCCUGCUGGGACCGAGGACCGCGCUUCGGCUAGGAUGCUGGCGUAAUGGUUGUAAGCGGC